rnacentral:tRNA from 1 species
AAGUAAUGAAGUAAAAAUAUACAAUUAGUUUCGACCUAAAAUAAGAGAAAAAUUCUCCUUACUUU